rnacentral:rRNA from 1 species
UUUAGGAGAAUUAGUUUAUACCAGAUUAUUAUUAGUUAUAGUCUUGAAAAUUAAAAGAUUUGGCGGUAUUUUAGUCUUUUCAGAGGAACCUGUCUAUUAAUUGACAUUCCACGAUUUAAUUUACUUUUACUAUUAGUUUGUAUAUCGUCGUUAUUGACUAUUUCUUGAGAAUAUAAUAUUCAUAAUUUUUUUAGAAAUUAAAUCAGAUCAAGAUGCAGUUUAUGUAAAAGUUAGGAUGGGUUACAAUAACUUUAAUUAUACGAAUAUAAUUUUGUAAAUUUUAUUGAAGGAGGAUUUGAGAGUAAUUUUUAUUAGAUUAUAAGAAUGAUUUUAGCUCUAGGAUAUGU